rnacentral:rRNA from 1 species
CCUACGGGUGGCAGCAGUGAGGAAUAUUGGUCAAUGGACGCAAGUCUGAACCAGCCAUGCCGCGUGCAGGAAGACGGCUCUAUGAGUUGUAAACUGCUUUUGUACGAGGGUAAACGCAGAUACGCGUAUCUGUCUGAAAGUAUCGUACGAAUAAGGAUCGGCUAACUCCGUGCCAGCAGCCGCGGUAAUACGUAGGAGGCAAGCGUUAUCCGGAAUGACUGGGCGUAAAGGGUGCGUAGGUGGUUUGGCAAGUUGGUAGCGUAAUCCCGGGGCUCAACCUCGGUGCUACUACCAAAACUGUUGAACUUGAGUGCAGGAGGGGUGAAUGGAAUUCCCAGUGUAGCGGUGGAAUGCGUAGAUAUUGGGAAGAACACCAGCGGCGAAGGCGAUUCACUGGACUGUAACUGACACUGAGGCACGAAAGCGUGGGGAGCAAACAGGAUUAGAUACCCGUGUAGUC